rnacentral:tRNA from 1 species
GUCUUUGUAGUAUAUAAUUACCUUGGUCUUGUAAACCAAAAAUGGAGAAU